UGAGCGCAAGCUUGACCGAGCGACGCCGCGUGUGCGACGAAGGCCUUCGGGUUGUAAAGCACUGGUCGAGGGGGAGGAAAGCCGCAAGGUCUGACCUAUCCCUGGAGGAAGCACGGGCUAAGUUCGUGCCAGCAGCCGCGGUAAGACGAACCGUGCGAACGUUGUUCGGAAUCACUGGGCUUAAAGGGCGCGUAGGCGGGCGAUCAAGUCAGGAGUGAAAUCUUUCGGCUCAACCGGAAAAGUGCCCCUGAUACUGGCCGUCUCGAGGGAGGCAGGGGCAUGUGGAACUUCUGGUGGAGCGGUGAAAUGCGUAGAUAUCAGAAGGAACGCCGGUGGCGAAAGCGACGUGCUGGACCUCUUCUGACGCUGAGGCGCGAAAGCUAGGGGAGCAAACGGGAUUAGAUACCCCGGUAGUCCUAGCCCUAAACGAUGGGUACUAGGUUGUGGACUUGACAUGGGUUCCCAGCCGAAGCAAAAGUGUUAAGUACCCCGCCUGGGAAGUAUGGUCGCAAGGCUG
rnacentral:rRNA from 1 species